CGUGCUUAACACAUGCAAGUCGAACGGUGAAGGAGAGCUUGCUCUUUGGAUCAGUGGCGAACGGGUGAGUAACACGUGAGCAACCUGCCCCUGACUCUGGGAUAAGCGCUGGAAACGGCGUCUAAUACUGGAUAUGUGACGUGACCGCAUGGUCUGCGUCUGGAAAGAAUUUCGGUUGGGGAUGGGCUCGCGGCCUAUCAGCUUGUUGGUGAGGUAAUGGCUCACCAAGGCGUCGACGGGUAGCCGGCCUGAGAGGGUGACCGGCCACACUGGGACUGAGACACGGCCCAGACUCCUACGGGAGGCAGCAGUGGGGAAUAUUGCACAAUGGGCGCAAGCCUGAUGCAGCAACGCCGCGUGAGGGAUGACGGCCUUCGGGUUGUAAACCUCUUUUAGCAGGGAAGAAGCGAAAGUGACGGUACCUGCAGAAAAAGCGCCGGCUAACUACGUGCCAGCAGCCGCGGUAAUACGUAGGGCGCAAGCGUUAUCCGGAAUUAUUGGGCGUAAAGAGCUCGUAGGCGGUUUGUCGCGUCUGCUGUGAAAUCCGGAGGCUCAACCUCCGGCCUGCAGUGGGUACGGGCAGACUAGAGUGCGGUAGGGGAGAUUGGAAUUCCUGGUGUAGCGGUGGAAUGCGCAGAUAUCAGGAGGAACACCGAUGGCGAAGGCAGAUCUCUGGGCCGUAACUGACGCUGAGGAGCGAAAGGGUGGGGAGCAAACAGGCUUAGAUACCCUGGUAGUCCACCCCGUAAACGUUGGGAACUAGUUGUG
rnacentral:rRNA from 1 species